rfam:Eubacterium plexicaudatum ASF492 genomic scaffold acLZb-supercont1.1, whole genome shotgun sequence.
UAGCCAGUGAAAGUCUGGUCAAGGUAAUCGCCAGUGAGCCUUGUAGCGAGCUUCCAAUGCUUUUGGGUGACCGAUUGUGUUGAAGCGAGGUAUGCCUGUGAGAAACAGGUGCAAAAUAGCAGUCCGUAACAUAA